GAAAAUAAAAAGGAGGGAAUGGAUGGGCUCCUCACCUUGUUUUCCUGUGGUUCCAGCACAAAAAAAGCCCUAAGGGACGUGGGUGCUGUUAUAGAGAGGCUACAAUCGCGAAAAAGCCCCUGCAGUUUCGAACUGCUCAAAAUCUGCCGCCUUGUACCGGUAUACGGGCCCUUGUACCGGUACAAGGCCCAUGAAAUCCAAACCCGAGGCUCGGGUUGCGGGGUUCAGCUGCUCUGUACCGGUACAAACCCGAUAGCUGUACCGGUACAACCAUCAACCUUGUACCGGUACAAGCACACCCUUGUACCGGUACAAGACCUCCAGAAAGCAAAUCCGAGAGCUGACGAAAAUCUAAUUUUUGGAUUUUGG
rnacentral:lncRNA from 1 species